rnacentral:rRNA from 1 species
GAUGAACGCUGGCGGCGUGCCUAAUACAUGCAAGUAGAACGCUGAAGCUUGGUGCUUGCACCGAGCGGAUGAGUUGCGAACGGGUGAGUAACGCGUAGGUAACCUGCCUCUUAGCGGGGGAUAACUAUUGGAAACGAUAGCUAAUACCGCAUAAAAGUCGAUAUCGCAUGAUAUUGAUUUGAAAGGUGCAAAUGCAUCACUAAGAGAUGGACCUUCGUUGUAUUAGCUAGUUGGUGAGGUAACGGCUCACCAAGGCGACGAUACAUAGCCGACCUGAGAGGGUGAUCGGCCCAACUGGGACUGGGACACGGCCCAGACUCCUACGGGAGGCAGCAGUAGGGAAUCUUCGGCAAUGGGGGCAACGCUGACCGAGCAACGCCGCGUGAGUGAAGAAGGUUUUCGGAUCGUAAAGCUCUGUUGUAAGAGAAGAACGAGUGUGAGAGUGGAAAGUUCACACUGUGACGGUAACUUACCAGAAAGGGACGGCUAACUACGUG